rnacentral:rRNA from 1 species
GCAAGUCGAACGGAAACGAUGGGAGCUUGCUCCCAGGCGUCGAGUGGCGGACGGGUGAGUAAUACUUAGGAAUCUACCCAGUAGCGGGGGACAACUCGAGGAAACUCGAGCUAAUACCGCAUACGCCCUACGGGGGAAAGCAGGGGAUCUUCGGACCUUGCACUAUUGGAUGAGCCUAAGUCGGAUUAGCUUGUUGGUGAGGUAAAGGCUCACCAAGGCGACGAUCCGUAGCUGGUCUGAGAGGACGAUCAGCCACACUGGGACUGAGACACGGCCCAGACUCCUACGGGAGGCAGCAGUGGGGAAUAUUGGACAAUGGGGGCAACCCAGAUCCAGCAAUGCCGCGUGUGCGAAGAAGGCCUGCGGGUUGUAAAGCACUUUCAGUAGAGAAGAAAAGCUUACGGUUAAUACCCGUGGGUCUUGACGUUACCUACAGAAGAAGCUCCGGCUAACUCCGUGCCAGCAGCCGCGGUAAUACGGAGGGAGCGAGCGUUAAUCGGAAUUACUGGGCGUAAAGCGCGCGUAGGCGGCUUUGUAAGUCGGAUGUGAAAGCCCUGGGCUCAACCUGGGAAUGGCAUUCGAUACUGCAGAGCUAGAGUAUGGUAGAGGGAAGUGGAA